rnacentral:piRNA from 1 species
UGGGAAUGUUGUGCUCCCAUUGGGUGGGUU